ACUCCUACGGGAGGCAGCAGUGGGGAAUAUUGCACAAUGGGCGCAAGCCUGAUGCAGCCAUGCCGCGUGUGUGAAGAAGGCCUUGGGUUGUAAAGCACUUUCAGUCGUGAGGAAGGUAGUGUAGUUAAUAGCUGCAUUAUUUGUACGUUAGCGACAGAAGAAGCACCGGCUAACUCCGUGCCAGCAGCCGCGGUAAUACGGAGGGUGCGAGCGUUAAUCGGAAUUACUGGGCGUAAAGCGCAUGCAGGUGGUUUGUUAAGUCAGAUGUGAAAGCCCGGGGCUCAACCUCGGAAUAGCAUUUGAAACUGGCAGACUAGAGUACUGUAGAGGGGGUAGAAUUUCAGGUGUAGCGGUGAAAUGCGUAGAGAUCUGAAGGUAAUACCGGUGGCGAAGGCGGCCCCUGGACAGAUACUGACACUCAGAUGCGAAAGCGUGGGAGCAAACAGGAUUAGAUACCCCGUGGUAGACUGUCA
rnacentral:rRNA from 1 species